AACGCAUAUUGCGCUCUGUCUUUGGCAGAGCAUGCCUGUUUGAGAAUCUAAUGUAUCAUUUUUCCCAAUUUUUUUUUGUGAUUUUUGGGGAAGAAGCCAAAGCAAUUUUUUGGAUAAUUUCUCAAAGGAACAAAAAAAGGGGGAAGAGACUUGGGGAGACACUCAGGAGUUCCCUGGAAUAGAUUGACUAGAAGCUUUAAUAGAAGCUAAACUGGCAGCGUAUUUGAAUGGAACCGUGGUUUCUUAAUUGUACGAGGACAGGAUAGCGAAUUUACCUAUGAUAAGCCAAUAGUACCAGGACAGGUGUAUUUUAUGCACUUGGUAGAAGCCAAAAAAAAAUUUUUGAUGGCUUGAACCUUGGUCUCAAAUCAGGUAGGACUACCCGCUGAACUUAA
rnacentral:misc_RNA from 1 species